rnacentral:rRNA from 1 species
AUGAUAGGCAAUGAUAAUCGCGACGACGCCUUCAAAAAGGAAACGAUCUUCGCCGUCGCCGGUCCGUCCGAAGAUAGAACAGGUGUCCAAGCUUCCGUUGUUGCCCCCGACUCCAGUGGAGCCCCGGAUCUUCAGCAUGCUCUCUCUCUUCUGUCAAGCAACCCAGUGGGUGCUGUCAACCUCCAGCCAGGUUCCCAGAUGCACUCUGGGGUGGCAGCCAUUGCCGGCAGCCCCAACCCCACGAUGCACGCGCUGGGAUCAUCGGCAGGGCUCUGGCUAGACGGCGGCCCGCCCCUCGAUGAUCACCCACGGUUCCAGGUCUUCGAGCGCUUGGGUGACCACGACAGCGAGCUCCAGCUCCCAAAGCCUUCCUAUGACCACGCCUCGCACUUCGACCGGAUGCACUGA